UUGAUCCUGGCUCAGAAUCAACGCUGGCGGCGUGCCUAACACAUGCAAGUCGAACGCGAAAGUCCCGCAAGGGAUGAGUAGAGUGGCAAACGGGUGAGUUACACGUGGGUGACCUGCCUUCGAGCGGGGGAUAACGUCCCGAAAGGGACUCUAAUACCGCAUGACAUCCUGCCUUUGAAGAGGUGGAGAUCAAAGCUGGUGAUCGCAAGACCUAGCACUCGAAGAGGGGCCCGCGCCUGAUUAGCUAGUUGGUGGGGUAACGGCUCACCAAGGCAACGAUCAGUAGCCGGCCUGAGAGGUCGGACGGCCACACUGGGACUGAGACACGGCCCAGACUCCUACGGGAGGCUGCAGUGGGGAAUUGUUCGCAAUGGGCGCAAGCCUGACGACGCAACGCCGUGUGGAGGACGAAGACCUUCGGGUCGUAAACUCCUUUCGAUCGAGACGAAUGGCCUUCGGGUGAACAAUCCGGAGGAAUGACGGUACCGAGAGAAGAAGCUCCGGCUAACUCCGUGCCAGCAGCCGCGGUAAUAAGGU
rnacentral:rRNA from 1 species